GGCCACGCCCCUCGGGCCCGGGCCUGGCUGACUUGGAGUCAGUGGGUGCCCCCCGCACGCCGGGACACCCUACAGCCUUCUGGGGAAGGCGGCGCCCUUGGGACCCCCAGGCCACCGGUGGCAGGGAUGCAAUGGCCCGCGUAGGGGUGGCAGGGGCGCUUCCUCGGGAGCCUCAGCCCCUCCAGCCGCCCAGCGCCCUGCCAGGCCUCUUCCCGGCGCUCCCGCCGCCAGGCCCGCAUUAUUCACCAUCUGGGCAGCACCCAAGGCCUGGAGGGGGCGGGGCAGGUCCAGGCGGAUCGGCUCCCGGGGGUCGCCCAGACUCCAGGGCUCCAAAUUCACUGGGUGCGCUGGAACGCGGCACACAGUAGUAGUAUGCCCUGCUUAAUACAUACAGGACAUAUUUGAGGCCCCUUCCAGGGGUGGGGUGGGAGGACAGAGGGAUGGGGGGUGCACCAGACGACACAGCCAGACUGAGAAAGGUGGUCCCAGAGCAGGAGGCUAUCCAACUCCUAUGGAUGUGGCAAAACCCUGGCUCCAAGGCUGCUUUCCCGUGAAGCCGACCUAAUCUCCAAGUCUUACUCUCCCCAACCCCUCUCUGUGUUCAGCUUAUACAGUGGGACAAUUAUGAGCUCCAAGUGAGACCUGAAACCAGGCCUGCCCUUCAGGAUGCCCUAGGCUGGAGAAUGAACUGGACACAGGCUGUUCCAGCCCCCUGGGGUCAGGGCUGGGCCAAAGGAAGAGACAGGGCCUAGGGAAGCCCAGAGGUGAGCUAGGAAGACAUCUUGUGAGGAGAGGGCAUGGGAAGUGGGGUUUUGUAGGAUGAAUAGGAGCUCCCCAGGUCUGGGCUACGUGGCAGUGACAGGAAUUGCAUGUAUAAAGCUUUGGAGGCAAGAGAGAGCAUGAGGCCCUUGCUACACUAACUGCAAGGAGGGCAGAUGUUGGGGGAGGAGGAUGUGGGGCUGGGGCUCCAGAUGAGGGGGCAGUGAGAGACGGAGGAAGGCUGUCCUGUCCCCACUUCCUCUGUCCUCGGCCCUGAGAUAACAAGGACAAUGACUCUUCUGGGAAACAGCCUGGGCAGAGUUCAGAGAAGGACACUUGCAUUUAGCUUAAGCCUCACCACAUCUCUGCAAGGCAGGGGGUAAAGAUACUCUUAAAUUUUAGAGAUGGGGAAACUGAGGCACAAAGGGGGAACAAUGCCACGCCCAUGUGUGGGAUUGGAACAUGAGCACUGGGCUUCCCUGUCAUCUGGGGCUGGUUGCUGGUCUCCCGGUCUUGGCCCGCCCCCCGCCCCCCACCCCCCGCCAGCACUUCGGGUUCAAUGGGAGCACAGGAGGCUCUGGUGGGAGGAGUUGUGAGGGGCUGGGGGGCAGAUGGUGGGAACAGAGGCCAGGCUCAGGAUGUACCCCCGUGGCUGCGGUUUCCGGCGGGGGCCGGGCAGGGAGCGUCUAUUCUUAGCUCUGGACACAGCCAAAGUCAGGAAGCUGGGUGGGGGCGGGGGCAGCUUCCAGGACACCAGGUGGACCUCGGGCCAUGGUGGAGAGUCAUGGGGUAGAUGGGGGGGUGGUGUGCAGAGCCUACCCCUGGCCCCCACCUCCAGUCUGCCUGCAGGGUCUCGACACCCAGCUCGGAGGCCCUCCCCAGCUCACGCGCCCUCCGUAGCUCCCUGGUGCCCAGCUCCCCUAGGAUCUGGCUCCUUAGCUUGGCCUGAGCCCUGUGUGCCCCCUGCCCUGGGCACACCUGCUGCCCUGUCCUCUGCAAGGCAGCCGUCACCCUUCUCGGCCAGCAGCCCGUCUUCCCAGGCUCAGUGCCCGUGACCCUUCAGGGGUCCCAGGGCCCCAGCUCUGCUCCCUCCAGACUGGGGCCCCUGGCAAACCAUGUGUCUUGCCAGUUGGAGGACAGCCAUCUCCCUUGGGG
rnacentral:lncRNA from 1 species